rnacentral:rRNA from 1 species
UAACACAUGCAAGUCGAACGAACCUUCGGGUUAGUGGCGGACGGGCGAGUAACGCGUGGGAAUCUGCCCUCAGGAGGGGGAUAACGGUUGGAAACGACCGCUAAUACCCCAUAUGCCGAGAGGUGAAAUGAAUUUCGCCUGAGGAUGAGCCCGCGUCUGAUUAGCUAGUUGGUGUGGUAAUGGCUCACCAAGGCUUCGAUCAGUAGCCGGUCUGAGAGGAUGAUCAGCCACACUGGGACUGAGACACGGCCCAGACUCCUACGGGAGGCAGCAGUGGGGAAUUUUCCGCAAUGGGCGAAAGCCUGACGGAGCAACGCCGCGUGAGGGAUGAAGGCCUCUGGGCUGUAAACCUCUUUUCUCAAGGAAGAAGAUCUGACGGUACUUGAGGAAUAAGCCACGGCUAAUUCCGUGCCAGCAGCCGCGGUAAUACGGGAGUGGCAAGCGUUAUCCGGAAUUAUUGGGCGUAAAGCGUCCGCAGGCGGCCUUUCAAGUCUGCUGUUAAAAAGUGGAGCUUAACUCCAUCAUGGCAGUGGAAACUGUUGGGCUUGAGUGUGGUAGGGGCAGAGGGAAUUCCCGGUGUAGCGGUGAAAUGCGUAGAUAUCGGGAAGAACACCAGUGGCGAAGGCGCUCUGCUGGGCCAUAACUGACGCUCAUGGACGAAAGCCAGGGGAGCGAAAGGGAUUAGAUACCCCUGUAGUCCUGGCCGUAAACGAUGAACACUAGGUGUCGGGGGAAUCGACCACUUCGGUGUCGUAGCCAACGCGUUAAGUGUUCCGCCUGGGGAGUACGCACGCAAGCGUGAAACUCAAAGGAUUGACGGGGGCCCGCACAAGCGGUGGAGUAUGUGGUUUAAUUCGAUGCAACGCGAAGAACCUUACCAGGGCUUGACAUCCUUGGAACUUUCUAGAGAUAGAUUGGUGCCUUCCGGGAGCCAAGUGACAGGUGCUUGCAUGGCUGUCGUCAGCUCGUGGUCGUGGAGAUUGUUGGGUUUAAGUCCCGUAACCGAGCGCAACCCUUGUCCUUAGUUGCCAGCACUUCGGGUUGGAACUUCUAGGGAAGACUGCCGGUGACAAACCCGGGAGAAAGGUGGG